UACAGGAAAGCGACUUAAGUCCGAGCACUAUUUGAUCACUGGUUACUGAGGUUGUUUUGUCAUAAGCUUCGUUUUCUGGCGAUCAAAUACGCUCGACUUUGGGCCCAACCACCUGGCCG
rnacentral:precursor_RNA from 15 species